rnacentral:rRNA from 1 species
UACGGGGGGGGCAAGCGUUGUUCGGAAUCACUGGGCUUAAAGGGUGCGUAGGCGGCGCGGAAAGUUGGGUGUGAAAUCCCUCGGCUCAACCGAGGAACUGCGCCCAAAACUACCGUGCUCGAGGGAGAUAGAGGUGAGCGGAACUUAGGGUGGAGCGGUGAAAUGCGUUGAUAUCCUAAGGAACACCGGUGGCGAAAGCGGCUCACUGGAUCUCUUCUGACGCUGAGGCACGAAAGCUAGGGUAGCGAACGGG